rnacentral:lncRNA from 1 species
UGCAAGUUUUUUGUUGUUGUUGUUUGUUUUUUGGGUUUUUUGUUUUGUUUUGUUUUUUUGGUGUGUUUUAUUUUGUUGUUGUUUUUUUUUCCUUACAGACCUUAGAAGGUGCGGAUAUUGAGGGUUUCUGCAUGUAUUGGGAGACAUAUAUUCAUUCUCGUUCUGCCGUGAAAGACGCAGAGGUGAUACUGGGAGCUAACCAGAGUAAAUUUCUGACACUUUACUGUUUACGCUCAGCAUUUUCCCAUUUCUGUG